UGAGAAUCAUUUGAAUGAACAAAUGGAAGC
rnacentral:piRNA from 1 species